GUGCCAGAAGAAGGUCUGCGGGUCGUCAAACUCGGCCGUGCAGUCCUGCCAGUAGCAGCUGCGAACAGCGGGCGCCCGCGAGGUCAGUCACGGAGCGCCACUUCACUCAGUGCCACGUUAAGCAGCGUUCUUGCGCAUGGCACCACGGAUCGACCACUCGACUUUGGCCCGCGCCUAAAUCAUGGACCACCAUCAUGCUCAGAAGCCAGUUAUCAAGCCAGGACGGCCCACAUAGAACACACGUGGAGAAGCUGAUCGCCGUGCCGCCCUCCCAUCCCCACGAGCCCACGGCUGACGACACUCACACGAAUGGAUCCGGCAGGUCGGGCAGCAAGUGUCGCUCGCUACUAUCCAGCGUGCAGCGGCGGAUGCCUGACCGCUUCAGUAUCUCAGCGCCGAAGGCCAUCAGCCGACAGUGGUACGCAUGGUAGAGCACGUGCCGCCGGAUCAUACGCUCGUCCAGCACUCGGAACGUGCAGUCGGCCCAGCGGCAGCGCUCGUACGUGUUGCCAGGAUCUGCGGCGGUGAUUGGCGGUCAGUGAUCAGCAGCUAGCGGUCAAGUGGUAAAUGGCUGGCGGCCGGUACUCAGUGAUCAGUCGCGGUCGAUUAGAUAUCGGCGAUGAACAGCUAGCGGUGGUCAGUGGACUGGUCCGUGGUCAUUGGCCGGUGUCGGUGAUACUCAGUCCAGGAAUACAAGGUAUCGACUAUCGUCUA